rnacentral:rRNA from 1 species
UCUACGGGAGGCAGCAGUGGGGAAUAUUGGGCAAUGGGCGCAAGCCUGACCCAGCAACGCCGCGUGAAGGAAGAAGGCUUUCGGGUUGUAAACUUCUUUUCUCAGGGACGAAGCCAGUGACGGUACCUGCUGAAUAAGCCACGGCUAACUACGUGCACGCACCAGCGGUAUUACGGAGGUGGCAAGCGUUAGCCGGAUUUACUGGGUGUAAAGGGUGUGUAGGCGGGGACGGAAGUCAGUUGUGAAAACCACGGGGUCAACCGGUGGCCUGCAGUUGAAACUGGGUUGCUUGAGUACUGGGGAGGCAGGCGGAAUUCGUAGUGUAGCGGUGAAAUGCGUAGAUAUUAGGAGGAACACCAGUGGCGAAGGCGGUCUGCUGGACAGCAACUGACGCUGAGGCGCGAAAGCGUGGGGAGCAAACAGGAUUAGAUACCCGAGUAGUC